UACGUAGGGUGCGAGCGUUGUCCGGAAUUAUUGGGCGUAAAGAGCUCGUAGGCGGCCUGUCGCGUCGGAUGUGAAAGCCCGGGGCUUAACCCCGGGUCUGCAUUCGAUACGGGCAGGCUAGAGUUCGGUAGGGGAGAUCGGAAUUCCUGGUGUAGCGGUGAAAUGCGCAGAUAUCAGGAGGAACACCGAUGGCGAAGGCAGUGUUCUGGGCCAGUACUGACGCUGAGGAGCGAAAGCGUGGGGAGCAAACAGG
rnacentral:rRNA from 1 species